rnacentral:lncRNA from 1 species
GAAAAUAUGCAGGCCAGCGGCUAUGCGUUGGCGGGCGAACGUGAAAAUGGAUUUCAAGAAGAGCCGGAAAGUCACGGCGCAGUUGGAUUUUCGUUCGAGAGACAAGAUGAGCUGUUUCCUGAAGACGAGCCCGAAGAACCUGCAGAUUCUCCCGCUA